UUCCUGGGAAAGUGAAGCCAUUUACACAAACAGACAGACAUCUGUAACUUGAUGAUAAACUCCUGUUUUCUCAACCUUGUUCUUGAAGAAAUUAAGGCCUAAAUCUGCAGUAUGUCAGAGAAAUUUGAUGGAGUAACUAUCUGACAAUAUUACUUGGACAUUCACAUUGGAUAAACUACUAGCGACCAUGAAAAGUUUUGUGUUCAGGAAUUGUGGCUUCUAAACUGGAUCGUCUUGAUGACAAUCUGUGGGCAAGUGUGGGCUCUUGGCGUCGGGUUUCUCCCCUCAACAGCAAAGUGCGUUUGUUGAAUAUCUACAAUGAUGGAGAUGCAAAUCUGAAUAAGAAGACAUCCCAGCUCACAAGAGGCUCCCAUCCUCAUGAAGAAGCCAGGCACCUGGCUGUAAUGGCUAUUACUCUUAUCAGAGGUCAAUGUUGUUGAGUGCUGAUUGGCGGCUGUCCACUCUUCUGAGCAUGUGACUUGUUGUAACAUAUUAAACCUUGCCACGAUACUAUAAAGAAAAUUCU